rnacentral:rRNA from 1 species
CAAUAGCAUAUAUUAACGUUGUUGCAGUUGAAAAGCUCGUAGUUGAACUUUUGGUAGGAGCGACCUGGCCUUGGGCGCAUGCCCUUGUUUGCCGUGCGUCGUAUCUGGCCAUCCUUUUCCGCUUCGGCGGGAAUCCUUUACUGUGAGUAAACUGGAGUGCUCAAAACAAGACGUUUGUUUGGUACAUUAAAGCAUGGAAUAAUAAGAUAGGACCUGGUUACUAUUUUGUUGGUUUGCAUAGCUAGGUAAUGAUUAACAGGGACAGUUGGGGGUAUUCGUAUUUAAUUGUCAGAGGUGAAAUUCUUGGAUUUAUGAAAGACGAACGACUGCGAAAGCAUUUACCAAGGAUGUUUUCAUUAA